rnacentral:rRNA from 1 species
UACGUAGGUGGCGAGCGUUGUCCGGAAUUACUGGGCGUAAAGGGCGCGUAGGCGGUUUACUAAGUCAGAUGUGAAAACCCCGGGCUCAACCUGGGGAUUGCAUUUGAAACUGGUAGGCUAGAGUGUCGGAGAGGAAGGCGGAAUUCCUAGUGUAGCGGUGAAAUGCGUAGAUAUUAGGAGGAACACCAGUGGCGAAGGCGGCUUUCUGGACGAUAACUGACGCUGAGGCGCGAAAGCGUGGGGAGCAAACAGG